rnacentral:pre_miRNA from 1 species
NUUCUACUCCCUCCGUCCAAAAAUACUUGUCAUCAAAAUGGAUAAAAAUAGAUGUAUCUAAAACUAAAAUACGUCUAGAUACAUUUCCUUUUAUCCAUUUUGAUGACAAGUAUUUCCGGACGGAGGGAGUAUUUG